GCUACAUCUAUCAACUCCUCCUCCAGCCUUCGCCCUUUUACAGUAUAUUCUCCAUCCCCUGCGGCGAAACCAAACAUCCGUCGCAGAGAUCAAGAUGCCUAUGCAGCUGAGAAGUCAUUACUGACCUUUACUGUUAUAGUUACUGAGAAAAAGUCAGAGAUAAUUUGGAUAACUGACACUGAAUAUUCGCUCCCUUUCCCCUCCAUCUCGGGGUCCAUAACAGCAACGUGUGCCUGGAUUAGUGUAAAUCUUCACCAAGAAAACAACAGUGACAGUUGACACGCGGUGCAAAUCUUAAAUACCACGGCAGUUCUGGAAAAGAUCUGUAGGAGAGAGCUGGAUAGAGACUAUAAGUUCCCAUUAUUGUCAAUCAGAGCAGCGGUGUCUCCACGGGCAGAGAGGAGAGCAGCGGCAGGGAGGCAGGGAGGCAUGCGGCUGGCAGGCGAGCAGG